rnacentral:rRNA from 1 species
GAUGAACGCUGGCGGCGUGCCUAAUACAUGCAAGUCGAGCGAACAGACGAGGAGCUUGCUCCUCUGACGUUAGCGGCGGACGGGUGAGUAACACGUGGAUAACCUACCUAUAAGACUGGGAUAACUUCGGGAAACCGGAGCUAAUACCGGAUAAUAUAUUGAACCGCAUGGUUCAAUAGUGAAAGACGGUUUUGCUGUCACUUAUAGAUGGAUCCGCGCCGCAUUAGCUAGUUGGUAAGGUAACGGCUUACCAAGGCGACGAUGCGUAGCCGACCUGAGAGGGGGAUCGGCCACACUGGAACUGAGACACGGUCCAGACUCCUACGGGAGGCAGCAGUAGGGAAUCUUCCGCAAUGGGCGAAAGCCUGACGGAGCAACGCCGCGUGAGUGAUGAAGGUCUUCGGAUCGUAAAACUCUGUUAUUAGGGAAGAACAAAUGUGUAAGUAACUGUGCACGUCUUGACGGUACCUAAUCAGAAAGCCACGGCUAACUACGUG